GACACUUAAUAACUGCCCCUUCAACAGAGCUGUAGCGAGUCACCAAUCAGCCAUCAGCUCCUUUUCUGAAAACCUGAUGGGAGAGACCAGAGGGAAUUUUUACCAGGCUGGUCUGGUGUUUCUGCAAAUGGGCUACAUACUCCAUACGGGCAGCAUUUACUGGACUAACUGAAAAAGAAAAAUGGUAAAGGCAAGC